UCUCAUUUUUAGCCCGGUUGAGGCCGGGGUUGUACUUCCGGGGGCGGUGACCCCUGUGACAGCGACAGCCCGCGCAGUUUGGUUCGGGGCCGGAGGAGGAUAAUGUGGAUGGAAAGACACCAGGCGGCGGAGGAGCUGCAUGCGUUUCUUAUCAGCAUUCGGGAGCUUGUCAAGAAAGGUGAUCCUGGUCCCUUUUCUUAUAAGGAUGAGCUACAGGUUCACUUGUUCAGUCCUGGCCAAUGCCAGUCAUUGGAGAGUUUUUGGAGCGCAAACGAAAUGUCUUUUGUGGUGGAGAAAAAGAUUUUGAAACUGGAGGAAGACAUCAUAGAAGAAUCCCAGGCUAGCGACAGCCACUUAUUUGAUCUUUCUGUAGAAAAAUCCUGUGCGCCGCUGCCUGUCUCAACCAUGCAAGCCAGGCAGCUCCUUUCAAGCUAUACUUUGACACACAACCCCAACAUGGCACAGUUUGGGAAUGGAAAACCAGUGGAGGUUCUUCCUCAGUUGUGGGUAAGAUGUGAUAGCUCGGAUGCAGAAAGUACCUGUUGGCUUGGAGCGGAGCCUAUCAAAACCAGCAGGAAUGAGAUCUCAGGAAUGAGCUUCCAUAAGGUAACCUGUGCAGGUCCGACUUCUGACAAAUCCUGUUUUCCAAGUCUUGAAGCAUUAAAGAAAUCCCACAAGGAAAGACAUCAUUCUUCCGCAAUGCAGACAAGAGGAUUUGCUCGAUAUGAUUUAUUUAGCUGCACCGCACUGGAGAAUUCAGUUAUAGAAUCACAAACCAAUGUCACUGUGGACUUUGUGUGGAAUGGAGUAGACCAUAUCCCUCAGAUGCCACCUUUGACGUCUGCGUCAACACUGAAUAUCAGAGUGGAGUCUGGAGAUCUUCGAAGUCCUGUGUACCCUGUGUAUAAAGAGCUGGAUUUCCUUCUGGUUUUAGCUGAAGGCUUGAAAACUGGUGUAACAGAAUGGCCAGAGACUUUAGAAACCAAGUCAGCCGCUGAGCUUGUUCAAGAGCUUCUUAAUGAGCUUAAGAAUAAACUAGACGGAGUUAAUAAUUCAGCUCCUAAAAAGGAUGCAGAGAAAGUAAAGAGUGAUGCUGCAGCGGUGGACAGCUCCAUCCAGUCUUUUAUCAUCGAACGUGGAGAUUUGGACUUUGCUGAGGUGUUGUGGUGUAAAAUGAGAAAAAGUGUAGCUUCUUAUCAGGAUGUUGUAAACUGCUUCUCGCUCGUCGUACAAUCCCUGAGACAUGGCGAUGUGCACCCCUGGAUCCAUCGUGGGAGCAGCAGCACACUGAGCAAGCUAAUUCAGCAGUCCUACCACGGAAACAUGCAAAGUGUCUCCCUUUCAGGCCUCACUCCCAUCCGCAUGCUGCUAGAGAUUGGUUUGGACAAGAUGAAAAAAGAUUAUAUCAACUGCUUUAUAGGUCGAGAACUUGCAACAUUCAAUUACUUGGAUUACUUCAUCAGCACAUCCGUGGAUCUACAAGAGCAGGUGCACCGUGUCAAGAAGCUGCAUCAUAUGCUGGAAGUGGUUGCAAACUGCAAUGCUUUCUUGAGCCUGGAGCAUGAGAACCUCUUUCCGCUUAUACAGUCUUGUUUAAAGUACUACAAGGAGAACCCAUGGAAUGAGCAGCAUGUGUUCAAGCUUCCAAUUCGACCAAGUGUCGUCAGCAGAUUCUACCAGAAUUCUCACCCACAGAUAUGGAAAGUGGAGAUCCUUAGUGGACAUGGGCAGAAGGAAGUCAAAACUAUGUGGCAGCUAAGUGCCCGACCUCCAAUAGACCACGUGUCGUUUGAUGUUCCAGAUAUCCAGACUGACAUGACAAUGACUGGAGAAAGUGAAGAGAUUCUUUAUUACCAAGCACAGAUCAGCUGCAGUCAAGUGCACUUCUUGUGAAGGUGACCAGUCAGGUAAUGGCACACAGUUCCCAGUGCGAUAUCAUAUGUCAAUGGUGUCUUCGGACCUUUAUUGAUAGCUCUAGUCCCACAAACUGGAAUAACCUUUUCCAAAUAUGACCUGUACCGUUGUACUGACCACUGAUGGCUUCUGUACCUGUGUUCUGAUUGAGUGCUACCUGUCCUUGGGGUUUCAUCAUUGUGUCGGAAGAGAACCAGAAGAGGGGGUCUUCAAGUGAAAGUCCUUGCUGUGGGCACAGUUGACAUCACUUAUCAGAUGGUG